AGAGUUUGAUCAUGGCUCAGGAUGAACGCUAGCUACAGGCUUAACACAUGCAAGUCGAGGGGCAGCAUUUAGUUUGCUUGCAAACUAAAGAUGGCGACCGGCGCACGGGUGAGUAACACGUAUCCAACCUACCGAUAACUCUGGAAUAGCCUUUCGAAAGAAAGAUUAAUACCGGAUAGUAUACGAAUAUCGCAUGAUAUUUUAUAAGGAAUUUCGGUAUCGAUGGGGAUGCGUUCCAUUAGUUGUUGGCGGGGUAACGGCCACCAAGACUACGAUGGAUAGGGGUUCUGAGAGGAAGGUCCCCCACAUUGGAACUGAGACACGGUCCAAACUCCUACGGGAGGCA
rnacentral:rRNA from 1 species